GGCAUAACUUGAUGGUUUGGGUGUUGA
rnacentral:sRNA from 1 species